CCUACGGGAGGCUGCAGUGAGGAAUAUUGGUCAAUGGUCGGGAGACUGAACCAGCCAAGCCGCGUGAGGGAGGAAGGUACAGAGUAUCGUAAACCUCUUUUGUCAGGGAACAAAGGCGGGGACGUGUCCCCGGAUGAGUGUACCUGAAGAAAAAGCAUCGGCUAACUCCGUUCCAGCAGCCGCGGUAAUACGGAGGAUGCGCUCGUUAUCCGGAUUUAUUGGGUUUAAAGGGUGCGCAGGCGGUCUGUUAAGUCAGCGUUCAAAGCCCGGGGCUCAACCAUAGAAUUGCCGUUGAAACUGGGAGGCUUGAGUAUGUUUGAGGCAGGCGGAAGGCGUGGUGUAGUGGUGAAAUGCUUAGAUAUCACGCAGAACCCCGAUUGCGAAGGCAGACUGCCAAGCCAUGACUGACGCUGAUGCACGAAAGCGUGGGGAUCAAACAGGAUUAGAGACCCGGGUAGUG
rnacentral:rRNA from 1 species